rnacentral:tRNA from 1 species
GGGAAGGUGACUCAGUGGUAGAGUGCUUGCUUUGCAUGCAUGAGGCCCUGGGUUCUA